AGUGAACGCUGGCGGUAGGCCUAACACAUGCAAGUCGAACGGUAGCACAGAGGAGCUUGCUCCUUGGGUGACGAGUGGCGGACGGGUGAGGAAUGCAUCGGAAUCUACUCUUUCGUGGGGGAUAACGUAGGGAAACUUACGCUAAUACCGCAUACGACCUACGGGUGAAAGCAGGGGACCUUCUAGGCCUUGCGCGAUUGAAUGAGCCGAUGUCCGAUUAGCUAGUUGGCGGGGUAAUGGCCCACCAAGGCGACGAUCGGUAGCUGGUCUGAGAGGAUGAUAAGCCAACCUGGAACGGAGACACGGUCCAGACUCCUACGGGAGGAAGCAGUGGGGAAUAUUGGACAAUGGGCGCAAGCCUGAUCCAGCCAUACCGCGUGGGUGAAGAAGGCCUUCGGGUUGUAAAGCCCUUUUGUUGGGAAAGAAAAGCAGCCGGCUAAUACCCGGUUGUUCUGACGGUACCCAAAGAAUAAGCACCGGCUAACUUCGUGCCAGCCGCCGCCGUAAAAC
rnacentral:rRNA from 1 species